rnacentral:rRNA from 1 species
UACGGAGGGUGCGAACGUUGCUCGGAAUCAUUGGGCGUAAAGCGCACGUAGGCGGCUUUGUAAGUUAGAGGUGAAAGCCCGGGGCUCAACUCCGGAAUUGCCUUUAAGACUGCAUCGCUAGAAUUGUGGAGAGGUAAGUGGAAUUCCGAGUGUAGAGGUGAAAUUCGUAGAUAUUCGGAAGAACACCAGUGGCGAAGGCGACUUACUGGACACAUAUUGACGCUGAGGUGCGAAAGCGUGGGGAGCAAACAGG